rnacentral:lncRNA from 1 species
CUUCCUUCCCCAAGCAAUAACAACAAGAAGUGCAGAAGGUUGGAGAGUACAGAAACAUAAACCAAACUUCCUCUUCGUUAAAAGAUUGUUCUUCCUCUUCAUUGCAUCUGAGAAUCGUUGAUUAAUCCUCUACGAUUCUCGAUCUGUGAUUGUGAAACUGAGAUUCCCCAUGCAUUUUCUUAAAAUCUAGAAAUCAAAAUCAAUCUUGAAGCUUCAAAUUACAGAUCUGGACAAAGGGAAAGAAAAUGGUGCGGUGUUAUGAAUCUGGAACAACACCUUUGAAGCUUCGAAUUACAGAUUUGAAAUGUGUUUAUGGCAACAAAUAUCUUCUUCUAUUCAAUACCUUUGUCUUCUCCAUCCAUAAAGUCUGAAACAUCAGAAUCCAUUCAAAAUCAAUAUUAAAAAAAAAUGAUUUAUGAAGUGAUUCUGUGGUAUUUGGUAUCAAUUAGGUAGAACUGAAAAAAGUUCAGUAGAAUUUUAGAAAGAAAACGAUGAAUAAUAAUUAGGUUUGUAACUAGAACAAAUAGAAUUGACGGGUCUUUAAACACACUAAGGAUGUAUUGAUCAAGGCAUGGGAGAAAGAAGCACCGCAUAGAUAUGAUGAAGAAUAUGAAUCUGUUCUUAGAUAGGUGUGUUGGUGUUGAUAUGAGUUCUUAGAUUUUUAAUUAAUUAUAUUAAAUUAAAUUUGAAGUCAUACAAAUCGCAACAACCAGUAAAAAAAUAUUGAUUUUUGUUGGUUAAAUAAAAAUAUUGAUUUAUGAACGAAUGAAUAGUGC